UACGUAGGGUGCAAGCGUUAAUCGGAAUUACUGGGCGUAAAGCGUGCGCAGGCGGUUAUGUAAGACAGGUGUGAAAUCCCCGGGCUUAACCUGGGAACUGCAUUUGUGACUGCAUAGCUAGAGUACGGUAGAGGGGGAUGGAAUUCCGCGUGUAGCAGUGAAAUGCGUAGAUAUGCGGAGGAACACCGAUGGCGAAGGCAAUCCCCUGGACCUGUACUGACGCUCAUGCACGAAAGCGUGGGGAGCAUACAGG
rnacentral:rRNA from 1 species